CGGCCGCAGCUUGGAGGCCCCGCCCCCGGGUGGGCCUUGGGGAGCUGAGGUUUCCGACGGAAGCGCGCGCGGCGCGCGGAGUCCCUGAACCUGGGCACUCCAGGCGGCCGCCUGAGGGUUGGCGGCGGAAGAACUCUUUGGGGAGAAGGUUUCCCCGUACCGAAGGAGGUGACGGGAGUCGCGGGCGGGAGAAGUUGCCACCCUGCCAAGUUUUCCAAGUCUGGGGACCCCAACCCCUCGAUCGCCGUUCCUGGAGAUGAGGGCGACAAAUCCACGUUGUGAUAAUGCGCGCGUAAGGGUCAUCUUGGAGACGCAGAGGGACGCCCCCACCCCUUAGAGGGCGGGGGUCUGCAGUGCUUCGCGUACUGGGAUCACCAACACAGAAGACUGCAAAGCGCCUCUCGGGGAAGCCGUCACCCCAGCUAGGAAAGCCCUAAAUCAGCCCCGUGAGCCCUCCGACCCCAACGUUGCAAACGUGUGUCAACACCAGAGUUUCUCAUCCUGGGCACCAGUGACGUUUGCUGCCGGAUCACUGUUGCAGGGGCCGUCGUGUGCAUUUUAGGACAUUCAGCAUCCUGGGUUUCUCCAGUCAGGUCAACCAAAAAUGUCCCGUCAUUGUCAGAGGUCCUCUGGCGGGCAGAACGUCCCCUGUUGAGAACCACUGGUUUAAAAACCCACCCUGCUUUGCAUGAAGAUGCUGGAAAAAUGAAACCCUCAUUUUCUGAACCAAGCAUUUCACUAAGGAAGAAAUUGAGGCCCAAGAUCACCCAGAGUUACAGGAAGACCUAGAUUUAAAGCAGGAGAGAGGCAGCUGAUGAGAACCACACACACGCCUUGGAUCCGUGCUACACCUGUUAUCUUGCAUUUGUCAUGCUUCUGGGAAGCGUUUUUAUUUGCACAAACGGCUGUUUCUGCACGUGGUUGUGGCUGCUUCCUUCUGCACAUGUGAAAAGUUUUACAUCACACUUGUAGGAGAAAAUAAACAUGGGCAGAAAAACUUUUUUAAUUUACUCCCUCUCCCUCCUCGAAAUAGGCGCUUUGUGUACAUGGUCCAGGUUGGAAACCAGCCCAUUUGGAGGUACUCUUUAUCUCACCUCAGAUAAGCAAAAUAAACUAGCUCUCCCCCAAGCA